GUGCUCGCUUCAGCAGCAUAUAUACUAAAAUUGGAAUGGUACAAAGAAGAUUAGCAUGGCCCAUGGGCAAGGAUGACACGCAAAUUUAUGAAGCGUUCCAUAUUAAA
ensembl:snRNA U6 U6 spliceosomal RNA